ACGUAGGUGGCGAGCGUUAUCCGGAUUUACUGGGCGUAAAGCGCGUGUAGGCGGUUUCGUAAGUCGGAUGUGAAAGCUCCUGGCUCAACUGGGAGAGGCCAUUCGAUACUGCGGGACUUGAGGUCGGGAGAGGGACGUGGAAUUCCCGGUGUAGUGGUGGAAUGCGUAGAUAUCGGGAGGAACACCAGUGGCGAAGGCGGCGUCCUGGCCCGCACCUGACGCUAAGACGCGAAAGCGUGGGUAGCGAACGGG
rnacentral:rRNA from 1 species